AUUGAACGCUGGCGGCAUGCUUUACACAUGCAAGUCGAACGGUAACAGGGUGCUUGCACCGCUGACGAGUGGCGAACGGGUGAGUAAUGCGUCGGAACGUGCCGAGUAGUGGGGGAUAACGCAGCGAAAGUUGUGCUAAUACCGCAUACGUACUGAGGUAGAAAGUGGGGGACCUUCGGGCCUCACGCUAUUCGAGCGGCCGACGUCGGAUUAGCUAGUAGGUGAGGUAAAGGCUCACCUAGGCGACGAUCAGUAGCGGGUCUGAGAGGAUGAUACGGCACACUGGGACUGAGAAACGGCCCAGGCUCCUACGGGAGGCAGCAGUGGGGAAUUUUGGACAAUGGGCGAAAGCCUGAUCCAGCCAUGCCGCGUGUCUGAAGAAGGCCUUCGGGUUGUAAAGGACUUUUGUCAGGGAGGAAAUCCCUAGUGCUAAUAACACUGGGGGAUGACAGUACCUGGAGAAUAAGCACCGGCUAACUACGUGCCAGCCGCCGCAGUAA
rnacentral:rRNA from 1 species